rnacentral:rRNA from 1 species
GAUGAACGCUGGCGGCGUGCCUAAUACAUGCAAGUCGAACGAGGUGCUUUUGUAGCAAUACGAGAGUAUCCUAGUGGCGAACGGGUGAGUAACGCGUUGGUGACCUACCCCAAGUGUGGGAUAACAGUCCGAAAGGAUUGCUAAUACCGCAUGUGGUCUUCGGGUUUAGAAACUGAUGACUAAAGGAGCAAUUCGCUUUGGGAGGGACCUGCGUCCCAUCAGCUAGUUGGUGAGGUAAUGGCUCACCAAGGCUACGACGGGUAGGGGACCUGAGAGGGUGACCCCCCACAAUGGAACUGAAACACGGUCCAUACACCUACGGGUGGCAGCAGUAGGGAAUAUUGCACAAUGGGCGAAAGCCUGAUGCAGCAACGCCGCGUGUGCGAUGAAGGCCUUCGGGUCGUAAAGCACUUUCGACGGGGACGAUGAUGACGGUACCCGUAGAAGAAGCCCCGGCCUAACUUCGUGCCAGCAGCCGCGGUAAU